CGGAUAAGUCCUAACGGAGAAAGUUUUAACGCCGAAAGAUGAGCCCGCAUUUGAUUAGCUUGUUGGUGAGGUAAAAGCUCACCAAGGCAAUGAUCAAUAGCUGAUUUGAGAGGAUGAUCAGCCACACUGGGACUGAGACACGGCCCAGACUCCUACGGGAGGCAGCAGUGGGGAAUCUUGCACAAUGGAGGAAACUCUGAUGCAGCGAUGCCGCGUGAGUGAAGAAGGCCUUUGGGUUGUAAAGUUCUUUUGUCGGGAAAGAUAAUGACUGUACCCGAAGAAUAAGGUCCGGCUAACUUCGUGCCAGCAGCCGCGGUAAUACGAAGGGACCUAGCGUAGUUCGGAAUUACUGGGCGUAAAGCGCGCGUAGGCGGUUAUGUAAGUUAAUUGUGAAAGCCCAAAGCUCAACUUUGGAACUGCAAUUAAAACUAUUUAGCUAGAGUUUGAUAGAGGAAAGCGGAAUACAUAGUGUAGAGGUGAAAUUCGUAGAUAUUAUGUAGAGCACCAGUUGCGAAGGCGGCUUUCUGGAUCAUUACUGACGCUGAGGUGCGAAAGUAUGGGUAGCGAAGAGGAUUAGAUACCCUCGUGGUCCAUACUGUAAACAAUGAUUGUUAGAUGUAAGAAAUUUAUUUUUUGUAUCACAGCUAACGCGUUAAACAAUCCGCCUGGGGAGUACGACCGCA
rnacentral:rRNA from 1 species